rnacentral:rRNA from 1 species
AAAGAUUAAGCCAUGCAUGUCUAAGUACUUGCCGAACUAAGGCGAAACCGCGAAUGGCUCAUUAAAUCAGUUUUGGUUCACCCGACAGUACCAGUACAUGGAUAACUGUGGUAAUUCUAGAGCUAAUACAUGCAGCAAGCCCUAAUUGCUUCGGCGAGAAGGGCGCAGUUAUUAGAUCAAAAACCAAUCGACCUUAACGGGUCGUUUUAUUGGUGAAUCUGAGUAACCAUAGCAAACCGCAUGGCCUUGAGCCGGCGGUCUGUCGGUCAAGCAACUGCCUUAUCAGCUUGUCGUUAGGUUAUAUGCCUAACGAGGCGUCAACGGGUAACGAACGAUCGGGGUCGGACAUCGGAGAGGGAGCCUGAGAAACGGCUACCACUUCCAAGGAAGGCAGCAGGCGCGCAAAUUACCCACUCCCGGCACGGGGAGGUAGUGACGAGAUGUAUUGAUGCCGGCCUAUUAUGGUUCGUAAUCAAAAUGAGUACACUUUAAAUCCUUUAACGAGGACCUAUUGGAGGGCAAGUCUGGUGCCAGCAGCCGCGGUAAUUCCAGCUCCAAUAGCGUAUAUUAAUGCUGCUGCGGUUAAAACAUUCGUAGCUGGAUCUGGGUUGCCGGCGGGCACUUUGCAUUGAUUUAUAUUAGUGUAUUAGUUGCUAGUACGGUGCUUUAUGUACCUAGCCAUCGCUGUUUUCUUAUGAUUAUAGUGUAUGGUCGCCGGCACCACCUGCCGAACCGUGUCUCAUAUUCUUCAUUGAGUGUGUGAUGCGUUCGGUGCUUUUACCUUGAAAAAAUUAGAGUGCUCAAAGCAGGCGUAUAGUCGCGUUUAGCGGCUUGAAUAUUGAUGCAUGGAAUAAUGGAAUAGGACCUCGGUUCUAUUUUGUUGGUUUUCAGGACUCGAGGUAAUGAUUAAGAGGGACAGACGGAGGCAUUCGUAUUGCAACGUUAGAGGUGAAAUUCUUGGAUCGUUGCAAGACGAACUAAUGCGAAGGCAUUCGCCUAGAAUGUUUUCAUUGAUCAAGAACGAAAGUUAGAGGUUCGAAGGCGAUCAGAUACCGCCCUAGUUCUAACCAUAAACGAUGCCAACUAGCGAUCCGUCAAUCUUUAAUAUUAUUGAGUUGACGGGCAGCUUCCGGGAAACCAAAGUCUUCGGGUUCCGGGGGAAGUAUGGUUGCAAAGCUGAAACUUAAAGGAAUUGACGGAAGGGCACCACCAGGAGUGGAGCCUGCGGCUUAAUUUGACUCAACACGGGGAAACUUACCCGGGCCGGACACUGUAAGGAUUGACAGAUUGAUAGCUCUUUCUUGAUUCGGUGGAUGGUGGUGCAUGGCCGUUCUUAGUUGGUGGAGUGAUUUGUCUGGUUAAUUCCGAUAACGAACGAGACUCUAGCCUACUAAAUAGACCACUGAUUGUAUCUCCAGUGUGUGAAGCUUUUAGUGGAGCAUACUUGGGGAAUCUAAACGUCAGUUGGUAUACUUCUUAGAGGGACAGGCGGAAUACAAGCCGCACGAGAUUGAGCAAUAACAGGUCUGUGAUGCCCUUAGAUGUCCGGGGCCGCACGCGCGCUACACUGAAGAGAUCAGCGUGUUUAUUGACCACUUGUUGGUAUCCUGGGCCGAAAGGUUUGGGCAAUCCGCUGAAACUUCUUCGUGAUUGGGAUUGAGCUUUGUAAUUAUCGCUCAUGAACGAGGAAUUCCCAGUAAGCGCGAGUCAUCAGCUCGCGUUGAUUACGUCCCUGCCCUUUGUACACACCGCCCGUCGCUACUACCGAUUGGAUAAUCUAGUGAGGCCUUUGGACCGGCUGAUCGCGCUUGUUUCGGCNNNNNNNNNNNNNNNNGAAGAAGUCCAAACUAGCUUAUCUAGAGGAAGUAAAAGUCGUAACAAGGUUUCC